rnacentral:rRNA from 1 species
ACUCAAAUGAAUUGACGGGGACCCGCACAAGCAGUGGAUCAUGUGGUUUAAUUCGACAAUAAACGGAGAACCUUACCCAGGCUUGACAUCCUACGAACCUGCUGGAAACAGCGGGGUGCCCGCAAGGGAAUGUAGAGACAGGCGCUGCAUGGUUGUCGUCAGCUCGUGCCUUGAGGUGUUCGGUUAAGUCCGUUAACGAGCGCAACCCACGUCGUUAGUUACUAUGUCUAACGAGACUGCCUGAGUUAAUCAGGAGGAAGGUGUGGAUGACGUCAAAUCAGCAUGGCCCUUAUGCCUGGGGCCACACACAUGAUACAAUGGUCGGUACAAAGAGCAGCAAAGAAGCGAUUCUAAGCCAAUCUCAGAAAGCCGAUCUCAGUCCAGAUUGGAGGCUGCAACUCGCCUCCAUGAAGUUGGAAUUGCUAGUAAUCGUGAAUCAGACAUGUCACGGUGAAUAUGUUCCCGGGUCUUGUACACACCGCCCGU